AACACAUGCAAGUCGAGCGCCUCGCAAGAGGAGCGGCAGACGGGUGAGUAACGCGUGGGAAUCUACCCAUCUCUACGGAACAACUCCGGGAAACUGGAGCUAAUACCGUAUACGUCCUUCGGGAGAAAGAUUUAUCGGAGAUGGAUGAGCCCGCGUUGGAUUAGCUAGUUGGUGGGGUAAUGGCCUACCAAGGCGACGAUCCAUAGCUGGUCUGAGAGGAUGAUCAGCCACACUGGGACUGAGACACGGCCCAGACUCCUACGGGAGGCAGCAGUGGGGAAUAUUGGACAAUGGGCGCAAGCCUGAUCCAGCCAUGCCGCGUGAGUGAUGAAGGCCCUAGGGUUGUAAAGCUCUUUCAACGGUGAAGAUAAUGACGGUAACCGUAGAAGAAG
rnacentral:rRNA from 1 species